UGGGGAAUAUUGCACAAUGGGCGGAAGCCUGAUGCAGCAACGCCGCGCGCGGGAUGACGGCCUUCGGGUUGUAAACCGCUUUCGCCUGUGACGAAGCGUGAGUGACGGUAAUGGGUAAAGAAGCACCGGCUAACUACGUGCCAGCAGCCGCGGUGAUACGUAGGGUGCGAGCGUUGUCCGGAUUUAUUGGGCGUAAAGGGCUCGUAGGUGGUUGAUCGCGUCGGAAGUGUAAUCUUGGGGCUUAACCCUGAGCGUGCUUUCGAUACGGGUUGACUUGAGGAAGGUAGGGGAGAAUGGAAUUCCUGGUGGAGCGGUGGAAUGCGCAGAUAUCAGGAGGAACACCAGUGGCGAAGGCGGUUCUCUGGGCCUUUCCUGACGCUGAGGAGCGAAAGCGUGGGGAGCGAACAGGCUUAGAUACCCUGGUAGUCCACGCUGUAAACGGUGGGUACUAGGUGUGGGGUCCAUUCCACGGGUUCCGUGCCGUAGCUAACGCUUUAAGUACCCCGCCUGGGGAGUACGGCCGCAAGGCUA
rnacentral:rRNA from 1 species